UAGAACACUUCCUUGAGGCACUCCGGGU
rnacentral:piRNA from 1 species